UGGCGCCCUCUUUCGUUAUUUUCUAUAGACAUGUCUCCAUAUAAAGCGUCUAAGUCAUGAUACGGAACAUUCUUAUUCUACCGUUCUAUGGUUACGUCAAGAUGUCAAGCUCCCACUAACUAACUCUGUCAAAUGGUCAAGUCAGUCCCUCUCCUGUCAAAAUGGAGGCACUUUGUAUUUUAAUUUUUCAGACGUUCAGAACAGCCGUUUUUAAAUUGGGUUUUUUGGAAUAAUAAAGUACUAAGCAAAACUUCACCUUUCGGGAGGACUUCCUGAGCUUGAAUGGAGCCUCCGAUACCGUCGGCGAUGACCAUCAUACAACCACCAUACUGAACAUCUAACGAACCAACACCCGUAGGCAUCUAAACAUUCCGUAUAUGUAUUUGGCACCUAGGACUUUUCGAUUGGUUCUUUGCAGCACGCGGUCAUAUUUCAACCAAUACGCGGCGAGGUGCCAAACGCAUAUACGGAAUUUUAUUCGGUGCGAAAUUCAUAUACGGAAUGUUAAGUAUUCGUAGACCGAAAAAGACACUUUUCAUUAUCGUCAGUUAAAAGGAGAUUGAUUAAAAUUCUUGUUAAUGUAUUAUUAAAAAAUAAAUAAAACAAUAAUUAUAGUAUUUGGAAUGUUAUUUGGUGCAAAAUUCAUAUGCGGAAUGUUAAACAUUCGUAGACUAAAAAAGACGACUUUUUAUUAAGUCAGUUACAGAAGACUGCUUUUAAAAUAUUUUGUUAAUGUAUAUUAAAGAAAAUAAAACAAUUAUUACCUAUAUGGAAUGUUAUUUGAUGCGAAAUUUAUAAAUGGAAUGGUAUGGUACAGAUUUGAGAGACUUUAUUAUUUCUUUAUUUGACUAUUUUGCUUUCGCAGAAUUUUUAAUGACUUGCACGUGUUACGUGUUGUAUAGUAUGUUUAGAUUUAUGUUUCAGCUAUUUAAUUAUGUUAUUUCUGUUGAAGUUUAGGGCUUUGUGCUACCAGACGAAAAUAUUCGUCUUUUUUAUCUACGAACAUUUAACAUUCCGUAUAUGAAUUUAGCACCAAAUAACAUUCCAAAUACUAUAAUUGUUUUAUUUUUAUUUAAUAAUACAUUAACAAAUAUUUUAAAAUCCAUCUCCUUUUAACUGACUAAUAAAAAGUUAUCUUUUUCUGUCUACGAAUAUUUAACAUUCCGUAUAUGAUUCGCACCGAAUAACAUUCCGUAUAUGCGUUUGGCACCUCGCCGCGUAUUGGUUGAAAUAUGACCGUGUGCUGCAAGGAACCAAUAGAAAACUCCUAGGUGCCAAAUACAGAUACGGAAUGUUUAGAUGCCACCCGUAGGCCUGGUGGCCAACAACAUCUAGGACCCCAGAGCCAGUUGCAGAACCAACAGCCAAGACACCAAGAAUCUACAGACAGAUACCAAGUGUCAUAAGUAUAAUCUGAACUGGUAGCUAUCAGCAAGGUCUUGUAUAUCUUUGAUUUGACAAUACAUUACUUUAUUAUGUCUUUAAUGAAAAAUAAACAUGAUUAGUUAAA